rnacentral:lncRNA from 1 species
CACUAAUCAGCACUCUUUUCCACUCCUAAAAUAUAACAACUCUUGCUAAUAAGGUACAUUCUGGGGGCGCCUGGUGGCUCAGGUGGUUAAGCGUCCAACACUUGGUUUUGGCUCAGGUCAUGAUCUCAAGGUCUCGAGAUGAAGCCCUACAUCUGGCACUGUGCUGGGGAUGGGGCCUGCUUAAGAUUCUCUCUCUCCCUCUGUCCAUCCUCUCUCACCACGCUCUCUCUCUCUCAAAAUAAAAUAAAAUAAAAUAAAUUUUUAAAAAGGAUGCAUUCUGCACUCCCACUCAUAGAGGGCACUAUUUUCUGUUUGUUCAUUCUGUUGUAGACAAUUGGCAACAAUAAAAAACAAAACAAACAAAACCCUUCCACAGUCUCACCAGGGAGCUGAUCCAAGAACUAGUUCUGAAUGUUACAGAAUGCACAGCAGCAGUCUCUUCAGUGCAAACUCCCACAAGCCCGAGCAGACUGUAGCAUCCUUUAUCGGGAGUCUCUUGACUUAAUAUAGCUCCAUUUUCACUAGCUAGUCCUUGAGCUAUUUUUAUCUACUAAUGCAAAAUGAGGAGUUGGUUUCUUUUUUUUCAGAAAUGUUUAAUUACAUCCUAAUAUUUCUUUGCUUUUGACAUUUAGAAACGUUGAUCUCACUUUCAGGAUGAACUGGCAUAUUUAAAAGGAUGCAACGUGCCUCACAGGGGUAUAUCAAAUUUCAUACUAUAUCUAAAGAGAUGCUUUCUUUCAGACUAAAGUGCUCUACUGUUAAGUAAAAAAAAAAAAAAAAAAAAAAAAAAAAAAAACUAGUCAUGAUACCAGCAAACUGUGAACUGACCUCAAUAUUAAUACCUACGUUCAUCAGAGUCUAAAUGGAAAUACCUUUAUGUUUCAUAUUUGCAGGUGAACCUGUACGGCGAUUUUAAAAGAUUUUCUACAUGUCUAUCUUAGCAUACAAGCUUUCGUUUGGUUUUGUUUACAAAGGGGAAAAAACGAUGAAGAUUCAAAGAAGGGCAUACGGUUGGCCAGAGCUAAAAGCUUCGGGGGUGGAGCGGCCAGAAAAGAAACAUCACAUAAUCCAUCACGGUAUUACAUCAAUAAUCCAUGUACUUUACCCAGGAGUUUUUGAUGAAGCUAUAUGCACUGACAAUUAUAUCUAAAGCCUAUAAUUAGUUGUGCUAUGUAGAUUGUAGCCAAUGCCAGACCACUCCAUCAAAUCCGCCAAUGACACCUUCCCUUUCUUUGGAAAGUGGUCAGAAUUCCUAUUUAUUUUGCAAGGAUAAGAAUUUCAUACUGCUUGUGGCUACCUUCUUAAAAUACCUCUGCUUUCCCAAAAAGAGCUCUGGGCUAGGGCAUUUCAACAUCCUAAUUUCCAGAUGUUAUUAUUCCUGACAAUGGAUCUGCA